rnacentral:rRNA from 1 species
CAGAGGGUGCAAACGUUGUUCGGAAUUACUGGGCGUAAAGCGCGUGUAGGCUGCUCCGAAAGUCAGGUGUGAAAGCCCCGGGCUCAACCUGGGAAGUGCACUUGAAACCUCGGAGCUUGAAUGCCGGAGAGGGUAGCGGAAUUCUCGGUGUAGAGGUGAAAUUCGUAGAUAUCGAGAGGAACACCGGUGGCGAAGGCGGCUACCUGGACGGCUAUUGACGCUGAGACGCGAAAGCGUGGGGAGCAAACAGGAUUAGAUACCCUGGUAGUCCACGCCGUAAACGAUGGGUGCUAGGUGUCGCGGGCUUUGACCCCUGCGGUGCCGUAGCUAACGCAUUAAGCACCCCGCCUGGGGAGUACGGUCGCAAGACUA